rfam:Myotis brandtii contig177811, whole genome shotgun sequence.
UGCCUGGACUUGACCUGAGCGGGGAAGGAUAAGCAGGGGGCGCGCUGGGUGUGGAAUGCACGUGGCUAGAGAGCCACUCUUGGUAAGCAGAACUGGCGCUGCGGAGUGAACCGAACGCCUUGUUAAGGCACCCAAUGCCAACGCUCAUCAGACCUGAGAAAAGGUGUUGUUUGAUAGGGACAGUAGCAUGGUGUCCAUGGAACUCAGAAUCCACUAAGGAUUGUGUAACUCCUCAACUGCUGAAUCAACUAGCCUUGAAAAUGGAUCCCGCAGGUGUGACAGGCCCAUAACUGGCUGUAGCUGGCAGUUGGUCAGAGCCAAAGGGAAUGGCAUCCACACACCCAAGUAUGCUAUACCAUGUACAUUAUGGGUAGGUGCAGAUCUUGGUGGUAGUAGCAAAAAUUCAUAGAAGAACUUGUAAGGCCAGGUUCCAUGGGUCAGUAAGUCCUGAGAGAUGGGCAAGCGCCAUUCAGGGACCAGCAAUCUCCUCCAUUGCCCCCCUCAGCUGAUUGGGGAAUCUGGUUCAGAUUCCCAAAUCCCGAAUGGCGGAAACGUUUGCCACUUCAAGGCGCAGCCCCCUCAGCGGUGGCUCCAGGUAAGGGGGGAGGUCUCCCGCAGGGCCCUCGGGCACUGUCACCCAGACACGGGGGGUGGGGCAAAGGCAACAGCAACUCCUAGCGUGAGCCUGGCCCUUCCUAUGGAUCGCCCCAGCGGUUGCAUUGGGGUUUGCCCCCAUUGCUGCUCCUGACCACACACACAGGUCUUCCCCUUCCAAGACCACCUCUGGGACAGCGGUUCCAAGUGGCUCCUCGCCCUGCCUGGCCCCUAGCAGCCAACUUAGAGCUAGUGCGGACCAGGGGAAUCUGACUAUUUAAAACAAAGCAUCGUGAAGGCCCGAGGCGUGUGUUGACGCGAUGUGAUUUCUGCCCAGUGCUCUGAAUGUCAAAGUGAAGAAAUUCAAUGAAGUGCGGGUAAACGGAGGCAGUAAUUAUGACUCUCUUAAGGUAGCCAAAUGCCUCGUCAUCUAGUGAUGCACAUGAAUGGAUGAACCAGAUUCCCACUGUCCCUACCUCCUAUCCAGCCAAACCACAGCCAAGGGAUCGGGCUUGGCGGAAUCAGCGGGGAAAGAAGACCCUGUUGAGCUUGACUCUAGUCUGGCACGGUGAAGAGAUAUGAGAGGUGGAGAAUAAGAGGGAGGCCCCGGUGCGGGAAAGGUCCAUUGGGCCGGCAGCAUGGCCGGACCAUGCCACCAGGUUGAAUCCUCAGGGCGGACUGGGCAGACUCCACCCAUUUACACCUCUUAAUGGUUUCAGGCCCUCUUGAACUCUCUUCAAAGUUCUUUUCAACUUUCCCUUAUGAUACUUGUUGGCUAUCAGUCUCAUGCAGUUAUUCAGCCUUAGAGUUUAGCGGGGAAUUUACCACCCACUUUGGGCUGCAUUCCCAACAAACCAACUCCGGAAGACCCGGGCCCAUCACGCCAGGGGUGCUAUCUGCCUCACACCAUCCACACAGGCUGGGCCUCAAUCAGAAGGACUUGGGCCCCCCACGAGCAGCGCCGGGGAGUGGGUCUUCUGUACACCACAUUUCCCAAGCCCCAACUCGGGGUGGGGAUUCACCGCUGGGCUCUUCCCUCUUCACUAGCCGUUACUGAGGGAAUCUUGGUUAGUUUCUUUUCCUCCGCUGACUAAUAUGCUUAAAUUCAGCGGGUCACCACGUCUGAUCUGAGGUCGCAUCUUGGUAGGGGCACAUGCAUGCACACGCACACGCCUUGGUGAGAGAGGCUUCUCCCAGCGAGGCCAGGGAGAGAACCGUUACCCGCACACACGCGGGACACCACGGCCAACACGUCUCGCCUCUCUCUCUGCCUUGCCUUAGCCGGAGGACUUUGCAAGGCGAGGAGGCGGGCGGACCGACAGUAACAGGAGCUGGCGGGAGAUCAGGCAGCCUUCAGCUGGGGGGGGGGG